GACGAACGCUGGCGGCGUGCUUAACACAUGCAAGUCGAACGGAAAGGCCCUGCUUUUGUGGGGUGCUCGAGUGGCGAACGGGUGAGUAACACGUGAGUAACCUGCCCCUGACUUUGGGAUAACUUCAGGAAACUGGGGCUAAUACCGGAUAGGAGCUCCUGCUGCAUGGUGGGGGUUGGAAAGUUUCGGCGGUUGGGGAUGGACUCGCGGCUUAUCAGCUUGUUGGUGGGGUAGUGGCUUACCAAGGCUUUGACGGGUAGCCGGCCUGAGAGGGUGACCGGCCACAUUGGGACUGAGAUACGGCCCAGACUCCUACGGGAGGCAGCAGUGGGGAAUAUUGCACAAUGGGCGGAAGCCUGAUGCAGCAGCGCCGCGUGCGGGAUGACGGCCUUCGGGUUGUAAACCGCUUUCGCCUGUGACGAAGCGUGAGUGACGGUAAUGGGUAAAGAAGCACCGGCUAACUACGUG
rnacentral:rRNA from 1 species